rnacentral:misc_RNA from 1 species
AACGCACAUUGCGCCUAUUAGUAUUCUAGUAGGCAUGCCUGUUCGAGCGUCAUUUCACCACUCAAGCUUCACUGCUUGGAGUUGGGACAUUACCGCCCCCCCGGCGGCAAGUCCUCAAAUAUAGUGGCGAGGCCGGAUGUCCUCUAAGCGUAGUAAUCUUCUUUUCUCGCUUUGGCUAGGCAUCUGGUUGCAGCCAGAAACCACUUUAUUAUUCAAUGGUUGACCUCGGAUCAGGUAGGAAUACCCGCUGAACUUAA